CGUUUCGUCAUGUUGGCCAGGCUGGUCUCAAACUCCAGACCUCAGGUGAUCUGCUCCCUCACAGCCCCCCGGCCUCCCAAAGUGCAGAAUCGAGGCCAUCAAGCUACAGAUGGUCUUACAAAUGGAACCCCAAAUGAGCUCAACUAACAACUUCUACCGAGGACCCCUGGACCGACCUGCUGGCCCUUCCACUGGCCUAAAGAGUUCCCCUCUGGAGGACACUACAACUGCAGGGCCACUUCUUCGCCCCUAUCCAGCAGGAAGUAGCUAGAGCAGUCAUCAGCCAAAUUCCCAACAGCAGUCAAGGUAUCCUAUUUAGAGGGGGGAUUGAGAGGUGACAAUGUGCUAGCAGCCCUGGCUCGCUCUUGGCGCCUCCGCGGCCUCGGUGUCCACUCUGGAUGCACUGGAGGAGCCCUUCAGCCUGCCACUGCACUGUGGGGGCCCCUCUCUGGGGCUGGCCAAGGCCGGAGCCGGCUCCCUCUGUUCACGGGGAGGUGUGGAGGGAGAGGCAUGGGUGGGAGCUGGGGCUGUGCACAGUGCUUGCGGGCCAGCGUGGGUUCCAGGUGAGCUUGAUCAAGGAACGAGCUCCCUCUGGGCUGCUGGAGUGCCUGGGCUAGGUGCCACGAAGUCCCACGGCAAGUGCCAUCGAGAGGUGAAGCCGGCUAGGCUUCUGGGUCAGGUGGGGACUUGGAGAACUUUUGUCUAGCUAAAGGAUUGUAAAGGCACCAGUCAGCACUCUGUGUCUAGCUAAAGGUUUGUAAACUCACCAAUCAGCGCUCUAUCAAAACAGACCAAUCAGCUCUCUGUAAAACGGACCAAUCAGCUCUCUGUAAAAUGGACCGAUCAGCUCUCUGUAAAAUGGACUAAUCAGUAGGAUGUGGGUGGGGCCAGAUAAGGGAAUAAAAGCAGGCCACCUGAGCCAGCAGUGGCAAUCUGCUAGGGUCCCCUUCCAUGCUGUGGAAGCUUUGUUGUUUCGCUCUUCACAGUAAAUCUUGCUGCUGGUUACUCUUUGGGUCCGCGCCCCCUUUAUGAGCUGUUAACACUCACCGCGAAGGUCUGCAGCUUCACUCCUGAAGCCAGCGAGACCACGAGCCCACCAGAAGGAACGGACAAUUCCAGACGUGCCGCCUUUAAGAGCUGUAACACUCACCGUGAAGGUCUGCAGCUUCACUCCUGAAGUCAGCGAGACCACAAACCCACCAGAAGGAAGAAAUUCCGGACACAUCUGAACAUCUGAAUGAACAAACUCCGGACACACCAUCUUUAAGAACUGUAACGCUCACUGCGAGGGUCCGCAGCUUCAUUCUUGAAGUCAGCGAGACCAAGAACCACCAAUUCCAGACAUACAGGGAUUACAAGCGUGAGCCACCGUGCCCCAUCAUAAAGCUCUUAAUAUAGUACCUGGCACAUCUUUCAAACUCAGAAUUUUUGAAACGUAACACAUUUUUUUUUAUGUUAACAAUUUCAUCUUACUGACUGACUUUAGUCUCUUGAGUCUUUAAAAAAUUUACAUAAGCUGGGUGCAGUGACUCAUGCCUAUAAUCCUAGCACUUUGAGAGGCCAAGGCAGAAAGAUCACCUGAGGUCAGGGGUUCAAGACCAGCCUGGCCAACAUGGUGAAACCCCAUCUCUACUAAAAAUACAAAAAUCAGCCGGAUGUGGUGGCGUGCACCUGUAAUCCCAGCGAGGGAGGCUGAGGCAGGAGAAUCGCUUGAACCGGGCAGUAGAGGUUGCAGUGAGCCAAGAUCACACCACUGCACUCCAGCCUGGGCAUCAGAGUAAGAAUUUGUCUCAAAAAAAAAAUUUACAUCAUUCCUUUGGGGUUUUUGUAGGCUGGUAAUGGACUGUUUACUACGUUUAAAAAAAAUUCUUAAGUCUUUGAGGAAAUAUUUACGCUUUCAGCUCUUCCCCAACCUCUCGCAUAAAGCAAACAGAAAUGUAAAAAGGUCACUUUGUAAACUUUUAAAGUGCCCAUAGAAAGCUCACUACCUGACACCAGCAGUUGUCCUAAGCUGACCAUAACGCAAUAGAAUUAGAAAUCAGUAACAUGUUUUUCCUUUUUUUAUAGGGAAAGACAAAUUGAGUUUUAGCAUGGAGUUAAGCAAAUAAAUCUGUAGUGGAGGAAAUACAAUUUCUCCUCAAGCCUCAUAAGUUCAUAGUUGGGACAGAUCCCUAUAACAAAAGACAGAUUAACAAGAGAAAAACAAGUAAUUUUAUUAAUAUAUGCAGUGUACAUCACACAGGAGAAAACUCAAUGAAAAGGUAAACACAAGUAGUGGCUUACAACUCUGGAUUAUAUAGCAUCUUCCACAAAGAAUACAUUUCAGAGAAGUGUGACAAGACAAAGGAAAGCAGUUUUAGGCUUCCAGAGGCAGAAACUGUGGAAGGUAAAUAUAUGUUAAGAAACUAAUAGUUUCUUGUUUGUAGAUUCCUCUGGUGCUGUCUCAGCUGAUUAGAGCCAUCUUCUCAUCUUGGUAUCAGGAAAGCAUCUUUCUCAAAGAAGUUUGUAUGGCUUGCUACAGGUAGGAAAGGACAGUUUAAAUAGCCAUUUCUGCAACUACUGUUUGUCAAGCACCUUUAGCUCGAAAUAAUCAGUAUGCCAAAUCGGCGUAUUUGGGGGUGGCAUGUUCAAAUUUCCUUCAGAUAAAAAGAACAGAAAGGUCAGAAUCUGGCCCUUACAUAGUAACUGCAUGACAGAUGUUGCACUUGAAAAAUUGGUACUUGGAGGAACAGCUAUAAAUAUGUAAAAAUAAUUAAAACAAGAUUCCAAAAUCAUGCCAUAAAAGAAAACAAAUUUCAGUUGGACUAAACAUGUAAAUGUUAAAAACAAAAAUUUUGUAACUUUUGGAAGGCUGAAUAGGACUAUUUUUAUGACAUUUCCUAUACAAAAACCAGAAAAAGCAAAUCAUUAUGAAAGAUUGGUAAAAUUACGUUUUUAAAAAUUCAAGAUUUCAUAACCAAAAUAUGAAGACAAACCAGACUAAAAAAGAUAAUUGAAACAUACAUAACGGAUCAUUAGUAUUCAAAAUAUGUAAUAUCUAAAAACUGAAAAGUAAAAAAAACAACAUAGAAAAAUGAGCAAAAAUGCCUGUAAUCCCAGUGCUUUAGGAGGAGGCAAGAUGGGAGGAUUGUUUGAGUCCAAGUUUACGGUUACAGUGAGCUAUGAUCCUGCCACCACACUCCAGCCUGAGCAAUAGAGUGAGAUCUUGUCUCUUAAAAACAAAAAAAAGAGUAAAAGAUAUGGCCUCAGAAAUCACACACUGCAUUUGCUCAAUAUCCUGGUAGUUACAAAAGUCAGCACUGUAAAAUGCAGGAGAAGGCUAUACUGGGGCAUGAACACCAGGAGGCCAGGGAUCACUGGGGCCAUCUGGAAGCUGGCUACCACAUAUAUAAAACAAUAUUUUGUAGCGCUUUUAAAAAAUAUAUUUGUAUUAAAAAUAUAAAAACACAUGCUAGAAUAUAUGCCCCCUCUAGUGGUUACCUCUGGGGACUCUGGGGACUCUGGGGAGGGAGGAAUGGGACAGGAUCAAAGAGGUAACAAAGCAAACUUCAAAUGUAUCUAACAUUUGCAAUUACAUGCAUAUGUGUGUCUGAAGAAAAUAUAGCCAAAUGUUAACAUUUAUUACAUCUGCAUGGUAGAAAUACAUGGAUUUUCUUGAAGUCAUUUACCUUUCCUAUAUCUUUGAAAUAUGUCAAUAAAAAGUUUUAAGUUAAUGAAUCCAAACAAAUGGAAAUAAAAUGUGCUUUUAAUAAUAAUUUAUUUUUACACAUUUUAAAAAUUGCAAUUUUCAGGAGAUGUAAGACGAAUAUUUUUCUAAUACUGAAAUAAGCAUAUCUUUGGUAUAGAAAUCACACCCUAUGUGUUUAUCUUUAACUAAAAAAACUAAUCAAGAACUAUGACCUAAUAUGUUAAACAAAACUAUUCUUUGCCCAUCCAUCUGUCCCCUCUCAUAGCCCCAUUGUGGGGCCUUAGAAUAUAGUUCUGUACCUAUCUCCAUAUCUACAAAGAAUUAAGAUGUUGUAUCAAAAAUGUCCAGAAGUUAUAUAUGGUAGAGAAUUAGUUGGCUUAAUCGUUGACACACAACACAAAACACCAAAAGCAACAUAAGAUACAGGAUGCAAAAUAGAACACUGUCACUAAGAUCAAAUAAUACAAAAAAAUCACAUCAUUUAAAUUUGAUGCAUUGCAAACAAAGUAACUUCUUUAGAAUUAUUAUGUACACAACUUGCAAAACUUAAAAAGUAAUAGCACAGAGCCAUAAAUCUGAUAAGGCACUUUAAAGAUAGCAGUCAAACAUAUACAAAUAUCAAAUACAAACACUGUUAAACUGCAAAAGCAGUAACCACAGAAAUAAAUAGUGAAAAAAUACGCAUUCUUUCUAAACAGUCUUUCCCUUUCUGAAGUAAAGUCUUUAAAAAAAAAAUCAAAGAAGUACAAAAAAUAUU